UACCGGCUCAGUAACACGUCAAUAAUCUGCCCUUAGAUCUGGGAUAACCUUGGGAAACUGAGGACAAAACCGGAUAGGGAAUAAAAGCCGGAAUAUGCUUUAUUCUUCAAAAGCAAUGUCUAAGGAUGAGUUGGCGGCGGAUUAGGUUGUUGGUGGGGUAAAGGUGAGUAAAAGUAUAUUUUCGCUUUGCUCAAUACAAGCCCACCAAGCCUAAGAUCCGUAGGGGCCUUGAGAGAGGGAGCCCCGAGAAGGGCACUGAGAUACUGGCCCUAGCCCUACGGGGUGCAGCAGGCGCGAAACCUUUACAAUGCACGCAAGUGUGAUAAGGGAAUCCCGAGUGCUUACGCUUUACGUAGGCUUUUGCCAAAGGUAAAGACUUUGGCGAAUAAGUGGUGGGAAAGACUGGUGCCAGCAGCCGCGGUAACACCAGCGCCACGAGUGGGGACCAGAAUUAUUGGGCUUAAAGCGUCCGUAGCCGGUUAAGUAAAUCUUUUGUGAAAUUGUUGGGCUCAACCUAACACCGUGCAGAAGACACUGCUUAACUUGGGACCGGGAGAAGUUAGGAGAAUGUCAGGGGAAGCGGUAAAAUGCUAUAAUCCCUGAUAGACUACCUGUGGCGAAGGCGCCUAACUAGAACGGAUCCGACGGUGAGGGACGAAAGCCAGGGGAGCGAACCGGAUUAGAUACCCGAGUAGUCCUGGCCGUAAACGCUGCGAGCUAGGUGUUGCAUAUUCUCCGUGAAUAUGCAGUAUCGAAGCGAAAGUGUUAAGCUCGCCGCCUGGGAAGUACGGUCGCAAGACUGAAACUUAAAGGAAUUGGCGGA
rnacentral:rRNA from 1 species